AACUCCAACAAGGAAAAGGUUGCUCUUUUCAGAGAGUCUUAGCCCUGUCUUCGGUCCUGAAAAUGGAUAAAAUGUUGCCCAUUUGAAUGAACAAGGAGGAAUUUUCAAAACUCCAACAAGGAAAAGGCUUUUCUUUUCGGAGAGUUUGAGCCCUGUCUUCGAAAGUAGACAAAAAGUGGCCCGCCUGAGUGAUCAAGAAAUAAUUAGCAUUGAAUGGGAAACAGAAGAAACUAAGGAGGAUACAAUUGAAGAUAGUCCAGUAAGCUUGUUUGAGGAAGUGAACAAGCUGAGAGCCAGACUAUACCAUUUGGAGGCUAUGCUGAUAGCACAUGUAUGCAAGUGCAAGUGUUAAUUGCAUUUGUGUGUAAACAUAACGCGGGACAUUGGUUAUAUAGUUUUUCAAAUAUAUAUAAAACAUGGGAUUCUAGUGAUGUUGUUUUUAUUAUUGAUCGAUUGGAGUGUAAUUAUUUUUUCAUGAUUAAACCAUGGUAAGUGUAACUAAAAAAAUCUCACUGAACCGUUCUUAUACAAAAGGGUUUAUCAGAAAAGUGUUGUCAUGAUAUAUUGUUAAAAGAUUAUGCAAGUUACUUCAGCGAUCGAUAUGACGUACACAAGUGGUUUGAACUUGUUUCAACAGAUUACGGUUUAAAAUGACAACUUAAGACAAUUCCAAUGGGUUACAUUCUUUAUUAAUUUACCGUUAUUAAUACACAAUAUAUUGUUAUAUUUCAAGUGAAUAUAAUGACCACAGUUAAACAAAAAGUUACAAUUAUCUGUCCUUCGUUUGUUUCAUUCACCACUCUGUAAAAUUGUUUGGAUUACACUCUGGACAUGUUAGAAAUCCCAACUGAUUCAUGUGGUCCGAUCUAUAAGGACACGGUACGACAGAAGACAGUUCGGGUACAAAGUCACCCAUCACACUGGCAGUGUCUUUCAAUUUGUUAUAUUCGGCAGGUCUCAAAAAAAUGCCUUUUUUGGUCGGUAUGACAUCGGUUUGAUUUGGGGGUACCCAAUAUUGUCUAAGGUCUACACAGAUUGAGUUCUCUUGAACAGUGGCGUAGACGUUUCCCCCCAGGUGAGAUUUAUACUCCCUCUUUUCCGUUAAGGCCUGGUCAAUAAAGUCGAGACUGUCGACCAACAUUUUCCAUCGAGUUAAGGGUAGACUAAUUCCUUUUUUCGUGGGAAUCAUAUUUUUCUGGGAAUCCCACUCUCUGAUGUCGAUUCUUAUAUCAUCAUUCCACUCUUUGGCUUGGACGAAUCUGUUAUUUCCCAAUUCGAUAUUGCAAUGUACUGCCAUGUCGACGUAUUUCGUUGUGUAAUGUUUAUUGGUCGUUAUGGUUACAAACAAGAAGAACCUUGUUGUAUCAAUACAUGUUUCACGCAGAAGGAAGCGUUGGGUCGAUUUAGACGUUUGGCGGGAAAGUCAGUGGUUGGGUCCAAGGGUAUGGGGUGUUUGAGAGGGAUUCUUGUGUUCGGUAUCGGGAACAUUUAGAGAACACCCCUAUCCAGUAAAUAUUGUAUUCACCCUGGGGUAUAUA